ensembl:lncRNA
CCCACCCUGACAGUUAAACCAAACCAUCUGUAAGUGUAAUGGAAGACAGUUUGGUCCUUCAGUGCUGAUCAUAGAUUGCUUUCAUUAGAUGCUUUUUUUUUUUUCCUGACUUAAACAAAGUGUAAGAAAUUUGGUAAAUCUGUCUCCAGAUGUAUUAAUAAAAAAAUAUGGCAUGAAAACUCAUGGUUAUAAAAGCUUUUGAUUAAAAAUAUUACCGUGAUUUUUAUAAGAUGCCUUUCACAUUUGAAUCAAGCUUUCAUCCCUUAGCGUUCCUCUUACAAGCUUUUUAUUGUGACUGUGACACAGUACUUUUUGUCGAACUUCCAGCUGUUUUUCCAUGUAGAAAAAUGGCAGCCAGAGGUUGGACUGUGACUUAGCUUUGUCUGCUGUGCUCAGCUGCCAGAUCUGGGAGCCUAGCAGAGGUAAGGCUGUUGCAGUUUCAUGUCUUCAAGUCCAUCCACUGGCAAGGCUGAGUAUGUAUUUCCAAUAUGAUUUACUAUUCAAAAGACUAUGACCACACCACAUGGAGAGGGGAAAGAUAUCUGAAAAGAAAGACUCUUGAAACAAGUAGAAGACCUUUUUCUGUCUUCAUCAUUCAACUUCCAAAACUUAUUUCUUUAGCAAGGCACAAAUUUGGGCCUUAGUAUAGACAGCAUAUCAGAGAGACUGCAGUGCUCUGUGGGGUCUAGCUAAAGGCUUUAUGUAGCCACUGAAGUUUGUCUGGCAUUCUUUCAAUUAUAUUUAUGUGUGUAAAAGAUCUUGACAUCUUUCUGAGAUGCAGGUUGUAUAUCAGCCACGGGAAAUAAAAUUGCAUCCCAAAUUGUAAACCAGGUUUUCCCUUUGGUCUUUAAAAUGUUUAAGAAACUUGGUUUCACAGUAAAAAAUCCAUCUGAGAUUCUUCUUCAUUAAAUAUUUUUUUUUCCCCCAAAUCUUUGGAGUGUAAAUUACUGUUUAGUUAGUACAACAGACAAAAAAAAAAGCGUAUGUUCUUUGGUUCUAAACACAUAGCCGAGAGGAACGUGCUGGUGAGUAGGCUUGUAAUUUGUUUUCACUCAAUCACAUAGGGUAACUUUAAGCUGCUCUUUUAUUGUUCAGAUCACGUUGAAACAUAGCUCUAAAAUACUAAAGGUACACGGAGUCUUCAGGAAACUGUACUAGAGCCUAAGGAUUAGCAGUGUGUGAAUAGCAUGUGAACCCAACACUGAAAAAUACCAAGCAACACUUUUUGGAAAAAAAUAUUUCAACUGCUUACAUGUGUGUAUAUUCCAAAUUGAGUAUAAAUUCUCCAGAAAAAAGACAACUAGAGCAUGGCACCGUGCAACUGCUUUCACAAAUCAAGUGUGUUGAUGGACAAUAUUAAUAGUGAUUUUAUUGUCUGUGGAACAGAGUAUUGCAGAAAAUACUAUAAUGCACAAUGCUGUAAAGACUGCUUGUAGUUUUGACUGCCACAUUUCUUCUCAUGCAUGGAGGAACAGCUCCAGCUAUGCUUUACAGAAUUUGUUUGCAAAAUGGUGAAGACAUGGUAACCCGGGUAGCCAGGUGCUGGUAACCUUUUCAGUCCACAGUGAAGCUUGCAGUGUUGUUUUUCAUGUAUUACUGUCCAAACUAACUGGAUUGAAGGUAGUUAUGCACAUAUUGCAACCACAUGCCACAAGUCAGUGUGACUGUUUUUCAAACAUGAAAAUUAUUAGCCAGUCAAAAUCAGUGGUCUUGGAGCCAAAGGCUUAAGAAAAACAUAAGCACUCUGAGAAACAGAUGUGAUCUCUUCUUGAAUCCAGAGAUUAUGUAUGAAAAACAUGAGAGAUUUAGCUUAUACCUUCACUGCAACUUUUUGUGCAAAGGUAACCCAAAUGCCUCACCUGCAGAGAAACUGUUUCUCUUCUCUGUUCUCUUUCAGCAUCUUUCCGAGUCAACAUGUAUGCACUGUAUACCAUGAUGAGAUGAACGCAGUGAUAUGGUCCUAUGAAUCAGAUAACUCCCAACAAUCACUGACCAAGAUACUGCUCUUAUUUGCUAAAAAGGAAAGGAUGUGAGGUUAGCAAACUGGACUGGGUGUGGUUCAGGUUGUAUAGUAGGAAAAAUUUCUCUACUAUUUAAACACUGGAACUGACUUCCUAGAGAGGUGCUUGAUGCUCCAUGCCUGACAGUGUUCAAGAGACAUUUGAGCAAUGCCCUCAGCAUUUCUCAACAUUUUGCUAGCUCUGAAGUGAUUAGGCAGUUGGUCUAUGGAGGUGACUGUUCCUCUGUAUUUGGCACUGGUAAGCCCACAUCUUGAAUACUGUGGUCAGUUUUGAGCUCCUCAACAAGAAGGAAAUUGAGCAGCUGGAAUGCAUUCAAAGGAGAGUAACAGAUGUGGUGAAAGGACUGGAAACAAAGAUUUAUAAGGAGAAUCUGGGGGAACUGGGGCUGUUUAGUCUGGAUAAGAGGAGCUUGAGGGGAGUGUUGGUUUCUUUUUUUUUUAAGUGAGAAGUGACAGGCAUCAAGUUGCACCAAGGGAGGUUUAGAUUAGGUAUCAGGAAGAGUUUCUUCAUGGGGAAGGUGGUUAUGCAUUGGAAUGUGAUGCCCAGAAAUGGAGUAGAGUUGCCAUCCUCCAAGGAUUUUAAGGGAUGUGUAGAUGCAGCACUUAGGAAUGUGAUUUAGUGGUGCAUUUGUAGUGCUGAGUGAUGGUUGGAUUUGAUGAUCUCAAGGAUUUUUACAAUCUGAAUGAUUUCGUGAUUCUAUAAUAAAUAUUGUUCAUGAUGGCGUAGAGAAUGCAGAAUCUGAAUCAUCUUCUUGGGGCUCCCUGUAUCUUGGUGUUGCAGCUUGUUUUCAUGCACUGAGAUAGAUGCGGUAGUUUCAGAUUUGGGACCUUCCAAAACACUGAAGUCAGUUAGUCUGGAGCUGACCUGUGUUUAAGUCUCUCUUACUGUAGGUGGAAUUACCCCCGAGACACAUCUGAUUACCCCUGACAUUCAUCCAGCAAGCUAUGUCAUCAUAUGCCUAGUUUUAGGACUAUGACUAGUUUUCUUAAAUGAGUUUGCUUCUUUGAAGCUAAAAGGAACAUUCAUAUCUCCAGAUUAGAUUAGUCUAGAGAAGAGGAGGCUCGGGGGAGAUGUUAUUGCUCUCUAUAACUACCUGAAGGGAAGUUGUAGUGAGCUGGUGGUCAGCCUCUUCUCUCGUGUGUGACUAGUGAUAGGACUAGAGGGAAUGGCUUCAAGCUGCGCCAGGGAAGGUUCAGGCUGGACGUUAGGAAAUACUGCUUCUCUGAAAGGGUGGUCAGGCACUGGAAUGGGCUGCCCAGAGAGGUGGUGGAGUCACCGACCCUGAAGGUGUUCAAGCAACGUUUGGAUGUUGUGUUGAGGGACAUGGUUUAGUGAGAACCAUUGGUGAUGGGUGAAUGGUUGGACUGGGUGAUCCUGUGGGUCUUUUCCAACCUUAACAAUUCUAUGAUUCUAUGAUUCUAUGAUCAGGCAUUCAUGUUCAAAUAUCUUGUUUAACUGGGGGCUAUGAUUCUUUAUAAUGAUCACCUGAUUUUCAUUUCACUAGUUUGACGAUUUGAAAAGUUACAUUCCUGAUCUUGAACUGCAAUUGCAGGCUUUUUAAUUUUGCUUUUUGUUUUAAAUCAUUUUCUGGCCAUUUCCACAUUUUGAUUUUUGUGUGGCAAAGGCUGAGGGCACAUCAGUUGAACUGCCAGACAAAAGACCUUGAAAUGGGAGCUUAAGUCAAGUGCCAUGGGAAAGCUGAAAUUCAGUUAGUCUCAGUGCAUUUAGCUCCAUCUAUUGAAGGUGAGAGUUAGCAGAUACUGCAUGCUACGUCUAAAUCUGUCUUCUCCUCUUAUUUCCCUUUUGGAUUUUAGUAGUUCCUAUUUGAACUGUCAAUAGUGCUAGAGCUGAUCUCUCCUAUGGAUCUAGCUUUCAAACAGAAGUUGUCUCAAAUUUGUUGUAAUUUGUGGAAGAGUCACCAAAGUAAAAUCAAUGUGGAAACAAUAGGGCAUAAAAGAAACCUUUCCUUAAUGUGAAGAACAAAUGUGAUGGCAAAUGUUUUCGUAUCUUGAAACAAACAGAAAAUUAAAAAUCCUUG